rnacentral:rRNA from 1 species
GAUGAACGCUGGCGGCGUGCCUAAUACAUGCAAGUCGAGCGAACGGACGAGAAGCUUGCUUCUCUGAUGUUAGCGGCGGACGGGUGAGUAACACGUGGAUAACCUACCUAUAAGACUGGGAUAACUUCGGGAAACCGUAGCUAAUACCGGAUCAUAUUUUGAACCGCAUGGUUCAAAAGUGCAUGACGGUCUUGCUGUCACUUAUAGCUGGAUCCGCGCUGCAUUAGCUAGUUGGUAAGGUAACGGCUUACCAAGGCAACGAUGCAUAGCCGACCUGAGAGGGUGAUCAGCCACACUGGAACUGAGACACGGUCCAGACUCCUACGGGAGGCAGCAGUAGGGAAUCUUCCGCAAUGGGCGAAAGCCUGACGGAGCAACGCCGCGUGAGUGAAGAAGGUCUUCGGAUCGUAAAACUCUGUUAUUAGGGAAGAACAUAUGUGUAAGUAACUGUGCACAUCUUGACGGUACCUAAUCAGAAAGCCACGGCUAACUACGUG